AGUUCUGGGUAGUGAAGAUGGAGGACCAGGAGGAAAUUCCACUGAGCAAAUGCUGUCAAGCUGCAGGUUCUGCCCUGGAGCCAGCUGACUAUGGUCCUGUCCCCUAAAACCUGUGAGUCAAAUCCCCUUUAAAUUGAAGAUCUCAGGUAUUUUGUGCCGCAGGUGGGAAAGUGAAUAAAACAGAUGGCUCCAA